GUGGGGAAUUUUGGACAAUGGGGGCAACCCUGAUCCAGCAAUGCCGCGUGAGUGAAGAAGGCCCUCGGGUUGUAAAGCUCUUUUGUCAGGGAAGAAACGGUAGGUCCUAAUAUGGCUUACUAAUGACGGUACCUGAAGAAUAAGCACCGGCUAACUACGUGCCAGCAGCCGCGGUAAUACGUAGGGUGCAAGCGUUAAUCGGAAUUACUGGGCGUAAAGCGUGCGCAGGCGGUUUUGUAAGUCUGAUGUGAAAUCCCCGGGCUCAACCUGGGAACUGCAUUGGAGACUGCAAGGCUAGAGUGUGUCAGAGGGGGGUAGAAUUCCACGUGUAGCAGUGAAAUGCGUAGAUAUGUGGAGGAAUACCGAUGGCGAAGGCAGCCCCCUGGGAUAACACUGACGCUCAUGCACGAAAGCGUGGGGAGCAAACAGGAUUAGAAACCCUGGUAGUCC
rnacentral:rRNA from 1 species